GCAUUAUACAGUUGAACUUGAAAUUGCAGCCAGCAUUCACAUGUUUAUUAGAAUCUGCAGAUUCUAAUAAACAUGUGAAUGCUGGCUGCAAUUUCAAGUUCAACUGUAUAAUG
rnacentral:miRNA from 1 species